AGAGUUUGAUCCUGGCUCAGGACGAACGCUGGCGGCGUGCCUAAUACAUGCAAGUAGAACGCUGAAGAGAGGAGCUUGCUCUUCUUGGAUGAGUUGCGAACGGGUGAGUAACGCGUAGGUAACCUGCCUUGUAGCGGGGGAUAACUAUUGGAAACGAUAGCUAAUACCGCAUAACAAUGGAUGACACAUGUCAUUUAUUUGAAAGGGGCAAUUGGUCCACUACAAGAUGGACCUGCGUUGUAUUAGCUAGUAGGUGAGGUAAUGGCUCACCUAGGCGACGAUACAUAGCCGACCUGAGAGGGUGAUCGGCCACACUGGGACUGAGACACGGCCCAGACUCCUACGGGAGGCAGCAGUAGGGAAUCUUCGGCAAUGGGGGCAACCCUGACCGAGCAACGCCGCGUGAGUGAAGAAGGUUUUCGGAUCGUAAAGCUCUGUUGUAAGUCAAGAACGGGUGUGAGAGUGGAAAGUUCACACUGUGACGGUAGCUUACCAGAAAGGGACGGCUAACUACGUGCCAGCAGCCGCGGUAAUACGUAGGUCCCGAGCGUUGUCCGGAUUUAUUGGGCGUAAAGCGAGCGCAGGCGGUUUGAUAAGUCUGAAGUUAAAGGCUGUGGCUCAACCAUAGUUCGCUUUGGAAACUGUCAAACUUGAGUGCAGAAGGGGAGAGUGGAAUUCCAUGUGUAGCGGUGAAAUGCGUAGAUAUAUGGAGGAACACCGGUGGCGAAAGCGGCUCUCUGGUCUGUAACUGACGCUGAGGCUCGAAAGCGUGGGGAGCGAACAGGAUUAGAUACCCUGGUAGUCCACGCCGUAAACGAUGAGUGCUAGGUGUUGGAUCCUUUCCGGGAUUCAGUGCCGCAGCUAACGCAUUAAGCACUCCGCCUGGGGAGUACGACCGCAAGGUUGAAACUCAAAGGAAUUGACGGGGGCCCGCACAAGCGGUGGAGCAUGUGGUUUAAUUCGAAGCAACGCGAAGAACCUUACCAGGUCUUGACAUCCCGAUGCUAUUUCUAGAGAUAGAAAGUUACUUCGGUACAUCGGUGACAGGUGGUGCAUGGUUGUCGUCAGCUCGUGUCGUGAGAUGUUGGGUUAAGUCCCGCAACGAGCGCAACCCCUAUUGUUAGUUGCCAUCAUUCAGUUGGGCACUCUAGCGAGACUGCCGGUAAUAAACCGGAGGAAGGUGGGGAUGACGUCAAAUCAUCAUGCCCCUUAUGACCUGGGCUACACACGUGCUACAAUGGUUGGUACAACGAGUUGCGAGUCGGUGACGGCGAGCUAAUCUCUUAAAGCCAAUCUCAGUUCGGAUUGUAGGCUGCAACUCGCCUACAUGAAGUCGGAAUCGCUAGUAAUCGCGGAUCAGCACGCCGCGGUGAAUACGUUCCCGGGCCUUGUACACACCGCCCGUCACACCACGAGAGUUUGUAACACCCGAAGUCGGUGAGGUAACCUUUUGGAGCCAGCCGCCUAAGGUGGGACAGAUGAUUGGGGUGAAGUCGUAACAAGGUAGCCGUAUCGGAAGGUGCGGCUGGAUCACCU
rnacentral:rRNA from 1 species